UACGUAGGGUGCGAGCGUUGUCCGGAUUUAUUGGGCGUAAAGGGCUCGUAGGCGGCGUGUCGCGUCGGGAGUGAAAGCCCGUUGCUUAACGGCGGGUUGGCUUUCGGUACGGGCAUGCUGGAGUGCGGCAGGGGAGACUGGAAUUCCUGGUGUAGCGGUGGAAUGCGCAGAUAUCAGGAGGAACACCGGUGGCGAAGGCGGUUCUCUGGGCCUGUACUGACGCUGAGGAGCGAAAGCGUGGGGAGCGAACAGG
rnacentral:rRNA from 1 species